CCUACGGGAGGCAGCAGUCGAGAAUCAUUCACAAUGGGGGAAACCCUGAUGGUGCGACGCCGCGUGGGGGAAUGAAGGUCUUCGGAUUGUAAACUCCUGUCAUGUGGGAGCAAAUUAAAAAGAUAGUACCACAAGAGGAAGAGACGGCUAACUCUGUGCAAGCAGCCGCGGUAAGACAGAGGUCUCAAGCGUUGUACGGAAUCACUGGGCGUAGAGCGUGCGUAGGCUGUUUCGUAAGUCGUGUGUGAAAGGCGCGGGCUCAACCCGCGGACGGCACAUGAUACUGCGAGCCUCGAGUAAUGGAGGGGGAACCGGAAUUCUCGGUGUAGCAGGGAAAUGCGUAGAUAUCGAGAGGAACACUCGUGGCGAAGGCGGGUUCCUGGACAUUAACUGACGCUGAGGCACGAAGGCCAGGGGAGCGAAAGGGAUUAGAUACCCGAGUAGUC
rnacentral:rRNA from 1 species